UUCUCGCUCCCCCUCUCUCCCCCUCACCCUCUCACUCCUCUCUCUCUCUCUCUCUCUCCCUCUCUCUCUCUUUUAAAAAAUCAGCCAUUUGGGGUUUUAAGCCAUAAACGAUUUUUUCUUGUUGCAGGGGAUUGCAGUGGCAAAGCUAGGCUAGGUCUUGGAGGCUGGUGUGAGGCGAAGCGGGUGAAGGCAGGAGGCUGGUGGAGAGACUGGGGGGAAGAAAAGCUGAAAUGGAUUCACGGUGGUGGUGCCUCGGAUGGAGGAUGAGAAAGGAAUUGCCAGCUCCUUCAACGGCUCUGUCCGGUGAGAAGUGAUCUAGCCUGGGCUGACAAGAGGCUGAGGGAGCCCUCACGUCCUUUCACUUUUUUACCUGCCAAUCAAACUGCUACAAGACAACACCCUGAUCUGCCAUGGACAUGUCAUCUAAACUCUUGGUUAUUUUUCAUGUAAACUUCUUAUAUUGUGAAAGAAGAAAAAGAAGAGGAGAGGAGCAGGAAGAAGAGAAAUUAUUUUAGAAAUCUGAAAAGAAAUGUCAAUUGCUACAUAUAACUUGUAUCAGGUGCAUGGCAUUGUGAUCCCAACACCCUACUCACUCCUCAUCAGCCCCCUGCCACUCUUCCCAGUGGGAAUGGAAUACUGGACAUUCUAGGCAUUUUUCCUUCCCCUCUCAGGGUCAGGAGAGGGGCUGUGGCAACGUGGAAGGCCUGCCAGUUGUUUUGGAAUUCCUGCAGGUGUUUAAAAAGUGAAGGGUUCUUUAGGGAGGCACAUCUGCAUUUGUCAUGUGCCACUGGUGCUAAAGCCUGUGGUGUUUUUGUUUGCUGGUUUGACAGAUUGACAUGUAAUGGCCGGGGCCCUGGAGCGGCUGCUCCCAGCAAAGUCACUCUGAUCGCUGGAGUUCUCCAGAAAUCAGCUGGCCUGAAUUCGCCCUGAUUUUUCUCCGCCCUUCAAAGGAGAAGGCACUGUUCUAAUGUUCCUUUCGGCUUUCACAAUCUUUUCCUUUUUGUUGCAUUGUUUUAAACUCUGAGUUAAGACGAAACAGGAACUUUGAUAGGUUCAUGACAUCUACAAAGAGUUUUCAAAACCAACCAGCCCUUCACAUGUACUUAGAAGUGGCUAAAGAGAUUGAUGGCACUAGCAUAAAUAUUGGGAUAUCAUAAAAUUCAAAACUGGAGAACCUAACUGUGUCAGCGAUGAAUGGGGGAACAGGACUAGAGGCAAAAACUGCAACAUUAAAACUUUUUCAUACUUUUAAACACUUGAAGUAAAACUCUCGUUUUAAGUUAUUUUUGAAAUCUCUUUUUUUCUUUUUCAUCUCAGAAUUUAUAUGUAAGCUUGUAUCUUAUCAACCCUGUUACCACAAGUAAAUAUGUGUGAAAGCAAA